rnacentral:rRNA from 1 species
AUUGAACGCUGGCGGCAUGCUUUACACAUGCAAGUCGAACGGCAGCGCGGGCUUCGGCCUGGCGGCGAGUGGCGAACGGGUGAGUAAUACAUCGGAACGUGCCCAGUAGUGGGGGAUAGCUCGGCGAAAGCCGGAUUAAUACCGCAUACGGCCUGAGGGUGAAAGCGGGGGAUCUUCGGACCUCGCGCUAUUGGAGCGGCCGAUGGCAGAUUAGCUAGUUGGUGGGGUAAAGGCCUACCAAGGCGACGAUCUGUAGCUGGUCUGGGAGGACGACCAGCCACACUGGGACUGAGACACGGCCCAGACUCCUACGGGAGGCAGCAGUGGGGAAUUUUGGACAAUGGGCGAAAGCCUGAUCCAGCAAUGCCGCGUGUGUGAUGAAGGCCUUCGGGUUGUAAAGCACUUUUGGCGGGAACGAAAAGGACUGUGCCAAUACCACGGUUCGAUGACGGUACCCGCAGAAUAAGCACCGGCUAACUACGUG